CAUCGCUACCUUUGUGCUGUUAUUCAGCACUGAGCUUGGCACAGGGUACCUGCAGCAUCUGGCACGUUUCUCCCACCCCUGUUCAGGCUCCUCAUGUGCUCUCCUCUGCUCCCAACCACUGGGGUAGCUGCUGUGCCCAAACACUAAAGGAGAAAGUGUCUAAACAGGCACAAGAGCUCAGCUCAUCUGAGGUCAUAAACCCCAGAAGUUCUGUGCCACUAAAGACAGCAGCCCGAGAGCCUCCACCAGCGCAGCACGUCAGCAAACACGCGGUGUGCGAUCUUAUCGUUUCCAAAAGUUUGAAGAUUUCACCAUGCAAGUUGAGCAGCCAUGCAAGGCACUUGUGUGACACAAGGCACAAACAACAGCAGCUCUCUGCCAUCACGUCCUC